rnacentral:piRNA from 1 species
UAAGAUUCCAUUUGAUGACUAUAUAGGCACC